AGAGCGAACGCUGGCGGCAGGCCUAACACAUGCAAGUCGAGCGCCCGUAGCAAUACGGGAGCGGCAGACGGGAUAGUAACACGUGGGAACGUGCCCUUCGGUUCGGAAUAACUCAGGGAAACUUGAGCUAAUACCGGAUACGCCCUUACGGGGAAAGAUUUAUUGCCGAAGGAACGGCCCGCGUCCGAUUAGCUAGUUGGUGAGGUAAUGGCUCACCAAGGCGACGAUCGGUAGCUGGUCUGAGAGGAUGACCAGCAUCACUGGGACUGAGACACGGCCCAGACUCCUACGGGAGGCAGCAGUGGGGAAUAUUGGACAAUGGGCGCAAGCCUGAUCCAGCCAUGCCGCGUGGAUGAUGAAGGCCUUAGGGUUGUAAAGUCCUUUAACGGGGAAGAUAAUGACGGUACCCGUAGAAUAAGCCCGGCUAACUUCGUGCCAGCAGCCGC
rnacentral:rRNA from 1 species